rnacentral:lncRNA from 1 species
UUUUUUUUUUUUUUUUUGUCCUUUUGCUAUUUCUUUGGGCUGCUCCCACGGCAUAUGGAGGUUCCCAGGCUAGGGGGCGAAUCGGAGCUGUAGUCACCAGCCUACACCAGAGCCACAGCAACGCGGGAUCUGAGCUGUGUCUGCAACCUACACCACAGCUCACGGCAACGCCGGAUCGUUAACCCACUGAGCAAGGGCAGGGACUGAACCCGCAACCUCAUGGUUCCUAGUCGGAUUCGUUAACCACUGCGCCACGACAGGAACUCCUACAUAUUCUAUUAUUUUCACAUAUUGGAUCAUAAGAAUUGGUCCAUUUCUAUAUAUAAUCCAUAGGUUUAUAAUUUUAAGAGAUUUGUAAUAUUCCAUUAUAUUCAUCUCUCCUUUUCUAAGGUUAAACAAUUUUUUGAAGGGUGGGGAUGGGAAAGGAUUUAUAUUAUUUAUUUUAUUUUGUUUUUGCUUUUAUUUUAUUGCACGGUUUUUAUGAACGAGACCCCUCAGCCCAGAAGUACGUUUAAGCAAAGUGGGAAAUCUUGUCUUCUUCCUCUUAGCUUCUAAUUAUUCAGAUUAGAACCAAGAAUCACCACACUAAUAGUCUCAGAGCCAAUCCAUAGUAAGUGUCACACCUAUAAUUCAUUGCAUCCACCACCAAGCCCUCCCUGUAGCCCAUAAGGAAAAGGAAGCCAGGGAGGCAAUGAGCAAACGAUGGUGCUCUCAUGACAGCUGUCACCUUCUUUUCUGUGACGUUCUGAAGAGCAAAGCCACCAUUUCCAAAAGGCCUUUCCAGCCGACAGCAAGAGGAACCAAGGAACCAGCCUGGUGAUAAGCUACUUCCUUGUCUGGUUUACUGCUCCUUCCUCCCAAAGUUGGCAGGUUUAAUUUUAAUAUUUACAGAGCUGGUAUGGUAAGCAGGCAAAUGAGGAGUUCCUGUUGUGGCACAGUGGAAACGAAUCUGACUCAGAGCCAUGAGGUUGCAGGUUCGAUCCCUGGCCUUGCUAAAGUGGGUUAGGGAUCGGGUGUUGCCAUGAGCUGUGGUGUGGGUUGCAGACAUGGCUCGGAUCUGAAGUCGCUAUGGCGGUGGCAUAGGCGAGCAGCUUCAGCUCCAAUUUGAUCCCUAGCCUGGGAAUGUCCAUAUGCCACUGGUACAGCCCUCAAAACACAGGCAGUGAAUUAUUUUCUCCCUCUUUAGAAAUACCCCUUCCACCUCCAAGGUUUUGUUAUCCUGGUUGAAUUUCAUUUGUUCAUGAUCGUUUACUGAGCAUCCACUAUACCAAUCACUGUACUAGCCUAUGGGAAUACAACAGGGAACAUAACAGACAUAGCCAAGUGUCCCCAUGGAUCUUUAAUUUGAAUAAACACUUAAACCAAAUACAUAAACUAAAAGGACAGCUGGUGCAAUAAAUGUUAUGAUAAAAAUGUAAAGGCUUUUAUGAUAAAGAAUAGCAAGAGGCGUUUACUUUGGCCUCCCUGAGGAAGUUGUAUUUCAGGUGAAUGCAGAAGGAGAAGAGCCCACCGUGCAGUGAGCUGAGAGGAGAGUAUAUCAGGUGGAGGAAACUGCCAGUGCAAAGGCCCUGAGUCUGCAACCUGCUUGGUUCUGGGAACUACCAGAAAGGUAGAAUGGCUACUGCACAGGGGUGAAGAGGAGAUUGGCACAGAAGGAGGUAAAUGAGGUGGGCAGGGGCCACAGGUGGCUGUGCUGAGCUCAAGGUCACAUUACAUUAGACAUGAGGAUGAAGGGGGUCUGUUCACUACCCCCAAGACCCCAAUCCCCCAGACUUCCCUAUUCCUCAGCUCUCUGGUCCUUGAACCCAUCAUUAUAGCAAUUAUCUCUGUUUGCAUCCAUCAUUCGUCCAUCAGAAGCCCAUGCCUCCCCUCCCCCCUUAUGUCCUACCCUCUCCACUCCCCACAGUCUCUCUGUGUCUCCCCUUCUGCUCCUUUCCCCUACUCCUCCCCAGUUCCCCAAAUUCUUCUACUGUCCUCUGGGAUUUCUAGUCCCUCAACAACAACAUCUCAUUUGCUCAAGCUCUUCUCUGCUUACUUCUCUUCCUUUCCUUGCUCUCUUGGAAAGGCAGCCCUCCUGUGAAGACUCCGCUUUCCUGAAGCCCUUCCAAGCAGUGACUCUUUUCUUCUACACCCCAUGGACCACAGGACCUGGAGGUGGGGCAGGAAUUCAUAUUGGUCCAAUGUGCCUUCCCUCUGCCUAAAGCUCCCCAGACUUUGAAUCUCAUGUCAUCUGAUCACAUUAUCCACUACCUGUCAUUGUAGCUGUCAUCUAUCAACCUCUGGCUCAUUCCUCCUGUUUUUCGGUGGUUGUGGUUCAUUGUCACUCAAUCUUGCCCACAUCUAGUCUGCUUGUGUCCUUACCUGUCUCAGUCAACAGCAACUCCAUUCUUUUACAGCUGAAAUACUUGAUGUCAUCACCGACCCCUCUCCCUCAAUCCACCAAGAGAUGCUGUUACUUCUACCUUCAAAUAUUUCAUCCAGAAUCUGACACGUCUCACCACUCUCAAGGUGACUCCCACCUGGAUCACUGCAAUAGCUUCCUCAUAGGUCCCCCCGGCUUUUAUACUUGCUUCUUGCAAUGAGGCUUUUAAACAUAACUUAGAGCAAGAUACCCAUCUGUUUGAAUCACUAAAAUGGCUUUCCACCUCCUCGGAGAAAAGGCCAAAUUCCCUGUAUUGGUCUUCUUAGCCUUAGAUGACCUGGCCUCCAGUUACUCUCCGACAUUGCUCACUUCAAUGGCCUCCUUGCUGGGUCUUAAAAACAUACAUACAUUUUUGGCUUUAGAACAUUUGAACUUCCCAGAUGCUUCUCUGGAUUUCAAUACAGUAAACUGCCUCACCUCCUUUAACUCAUUAAUCUAAUGCCACCUUCUUCCCCACGUAAUAACAUUUAAAGUUGACACUCACCUCCCCAGCACCCCAACCCCCCCAUCCUACUCUACUUUUUAUUUAUACCAUUUAUGCCAUUGACCCUAGUAUUAAACUUAUUGCGCAUUAACCAAAAUGUAAGUUGCCUGGGGUGGGGAUUAUUUCUUGUUCUAUUUACUUUUGUGCCCCAAGUGUUUAGGAACCAUAUCUACCAUAUAAUAUAGGCUCAAUAAGCAGUUUUAGAAUCAUGACACAAGGUGAAGUAUUUGGAUUAUAUUCUAAAUGAAAUUAAAGUCAUCAAGUAUUGUAAGUGGGCAAUUGAUGUGAUCUGAUUUACUAUUUAAAAUACGACUUUGGGUGCUAUGUGGUGAGUGGGCUAUAAAACGGAAAAAAAAAAGGCAAGUUAGGUGGUUAUUGCAGGCGUGCAGGUGAUGUGCUGUCAGUGGAGAUGGGAAAUGGAGUCAAUGUAUGUUUUGAAGCCAGAGCUGACAGUCCUUGCUCCUUUAUUGAUGGAGCUUAGUGAAAAAAUGGAGAGAAUCAAGAAAAAGUCUAAGGUUUCUGGCUGGAAAAAAAGAUGUAUUGGAAGAGGUAUGGAUAUACUGAAAAAGGAAAACUGAGAGAGUGAAUGGGCUGCCACGGACUGAAGGUUUAUGCCUCCUCAGAAUCCAUAUGUUGAAGUCUAACCCCAAUGUGACGUAUUAGGAGGUGGGGCCUUAGAAAGGUGAUUAGGUCAUGAGGGUGGAGCCCUCGUGAAUGGUAGUUGCCCUUCCAAGGAACAUGAGAGCAUGACACCUUUUUCUCUCUUCUGCACCAUGUCAGAACCCAAGGAGAAAAUGACCAUCUUCUCUCACCAGAUCUGCCGAUGCCUUGAUCUUCAAAUUCCUGGCCUCCAGACUAUGAGAAAAAAAGUUUAAGUCACCAGUCUAUGGUAUUGCACAGCAGCAUCCGGAAGUGAUGAAGACGUGGGCAUAAAUCUCCUCAGCCUUGCCUGUCUCCUGGAGCUUCUGACAUUGUCCUGCCUCAGCCACCACUGUGGGUUGACACUAUUCUGUGCUGUUUUACCACUGAGGUGGACCAACCAGCCACACACCCAGAGGGUCUGUCUGCUCCUGGAACUCUGACAGUGGGAAACCUGAAAGGGAGGGACAGGUCUGAUAAAUUACCCCUUCCCUAAUGAUGGCCUCUUCCCAGGCCUGGUUUCUCCAUCGGGCCUCCCCAAAGAACUCCACAUGGUCAAGCAUGUCGCCGUGGCCUGAGCAAUAGCACACCACUUUGCACUGCUUCCCGUGAAUUCUGACGAAGAUGAGGAUAAUAGGUUUGUGAACAAAAUUCAAGAAUCAUGUUGGAGUGAGUGUAGACAACUACUUUUGAGACAUUUUUGUAGAAAGUGACAGGGCUUCAUUGAGAGGAGCACUAACAAGAGAGAAGUAGGUAUGUGGUGGUGACCUCACAGUGUAGUGAGGUCCACUUCUGUGGGAAAAGUGGCACAAUUAAUGGGCAUGUUGAAUAGUCCUAUGAGGUUUAUUAUCACACUGUCCUUGGCAGCCUAGUUUUCCGAUUUUUUUCUUGAGCCAACCUCAGCUGCUGGGGUACAAGCACAAAGAGUAGUUAGGUUCCACUUGGUCAAGUAAGGGAUAAAUAACAAUGAUAAAGGAAGCAAGGCAGGAAAUCUAAAGUGAACAAAGAGGAGAGUAAAGCCAGGUGAGGUCUAACAGAUAUGGAGAAAAAAGUGAGAUAGGUGUACACGUGGUCUCGAUAAGGUCAAAAAUUGUAACAGAGAAGGUUCUAGAAUAGAGGUCAUCAAACUUUUUCUAUAGAGUACUAGAUAGUAAAUGUUUUAAGCCUUGUGAUCCAUAUGCAGUCUGUGUCACAUUUCUUCUUUGUUUUUGAAUUUUAAUACUCUUUAAAAAUUCUUAGCUUGCAAGCUGACUUUGGGCCGGGCCACAUGUGGGCCUUGAGCCAUAGUUUGGCCAACUCCCAUUCCUGUUCUAGAGCAUAUAAGCUAGGAGUUAUAGGGUAGAAGGCAGAAAGUGCAUGUUUUAAACUGAGAUUUGGAGGGGGUCAAGUUUCUAAGUGUGACUAUGGAAAUGGCUGUGGAUGUGUAGAAGGAGGAGGGAGUUACCUGGUGGCCCAGUGGGUUGGGGAUCCGGUGUUGUCUCUGCUGUGGCUAGGGCUACUGCUGUGGUGUGGAUUCAUUCUUUGGCUAGGGAACUUCCACCUGUCAUGGGUGCAGCCAAAAGAAAAAAAAAUGUGUAGUAGAAGGAAAGAUUGCUAGAGGUUAGGAGGCUAGUAACUAGAGGCUGGUGUUUGCAGACAUGGAUGUUGAAACAUUGAAGUUGAUGAGGGAAGGGAGGAGAGAAGUUUGCCAAAUAAAAAAUUACGUGUUAUUUGUCGGAAAAUCAAAUUUAAUAGGCAUCCUGUAUUUUCAUUUGCUGAAUCUGACAGCCCUAGGUAGAGA